rnacentral:lncRNA from 1 species
GAAUUGAGAAGAAAUAUAGCCGUUGGUUGUAAACCCUAAAUCCCCAAAUCCAUGUAACCCUAAUCUCUCUCUCUCUUUCUUUCUCUCUCACUCACUUUCCCAUUCUGAUUCUCAAUCACACGCUUCGCUCUUGGCCAAAACCCACUUGGCAGAAACUGAAAAUCACGCAACUUACUUUUUCAAUAUUUCUUUCUUCGUUUGUAGUUCAAGUGUUGAUUUAAUUGGUUUGGUGACAAUGAGGCUUGAAGAGUUGAAGCUUAAUCUGAAUUCUUUGAACAAUCCCAACCACAAGGUCCCGCCCGUUUCUUUCAAGCGUCCACGUUCCUCCGCUUACGUUUCCGAUUCCGAUUCCGAUUCCGUUCUUUCAAACGCAACCACAACAUCCGAUGAGAUUAAUCUGUCGCCACGAAGGGCUGCUCGGGUUGCAAUGCUGAAGGCACGGUUUGCAGGUACCAUCUUCAAAGCCCAACAAGAGGUUCUUUACAGUGGCUCUAAUGGUCUUGAAAACACCGAAGAUGAGAUCAAGAAGUUUCGGGCUGCCGAGAUGAUGAAAGCCAAUGAGUACAUCAAGGAGCAACGACAACGAGAUAGAGAAGCGGCUCGGCUUGCCCUCGAAGAGAUGGAGAGAAAUGUUGUCAUUGAUGAUAACUUCAAAACGAUGAGAGACUUUGAGAUGUUAAUUUCUGGC